rnacentral:rRNA from 1 species
GAUGAACGCUAGCUACAGGCUUAACACAUGCAAGUCGAGGGGCAGCACAGAGAUAGCUUGCUAUCUUGGGUGGCGACCGGCGCACGGGUGAGUAACGCGUAUCCAACCUGCCCAUUACUCGGGGAUAGCCUUGCGAAAGUAAGAUUAAUACCCGAUGUUGUUUGAUUGCCGCAUGACGAUCAAACCAAAGAUUUAUUGGUAAUGGAUGGGGAUGCGUGACAUUAGGUAGUAGGUGAGGUAACGGCUCACCUAGCCGACGAUGUCUAGGGGUUCUGAGAGGAAGGUCCCCCACACAGGAACUAAGACACGGUCCAGAUUCGUACGGGAUGCAUCAGCGAGGAAUAUUGGUCAAUGGACGAGAGUCUGAACCGGCCAAGUAGCGUGAAGGACGACGGCCCUCUGGGUUGUAAACUGCUUUUAGUUGGGAAUAAAAAAAGGGACGUGUCCCUAAUUGUAUGUACAAUCAGAAAAAGGACCGGCUAAUUCCGUGCCAGCCGCCGCGGUAACAC